UGGGGAAUUUUGGACAAUGGGCGCAAGCCUGAUCCAGCAAUGCCGCGUGAGUGACGAAGGCCUUCGGGUUGUAAAGCUCUGUCUUCAGGGACGAACAAAUGACGGUACCUGAGGAGGAAGCCACGGCUAACUACGUGCCAGCAGCCGCGGUAAUACGUAGGUGGCAAGCGUUGUCCGGAAUUACUGGGCGUAAAGGGCGUGUAGGUGGACUGAUCAGUCGGAUGUGAAAUAUCCAGGCUUAACCUGUGGGCUGCAUUCGAUACGGUCAGUCUUGAGUGCAGGAGAGGGCAGUGGAAUUCCCAGUGUAGCGGUGAAAUGCGUAGAUAUUGGGAGGAACACCAGUGGCGAAGGCGGCUGCCUGGACUGUAACUGACACUGAGGCGCGAAAGCGUGGGGAGCAGACA
rnacentral:rRNA from 1 species